rnacentral:rRNA from 1 species
CGGUCCAGACUCCUACGGGAGGCAGCAGUGAGGAAUAUUGGUCAAUGGACGAGAGUCUGAACCAGCCAAGUCGCGUGAAGGAAGACGGCCCUAAGGGUUGUAAACUUCUUUUGUAGAGGAAUAAAAUGUUCUACGUGUAGGAUAUUGCAAGUACUUUACGAAUAAGGAUCGGCUAACUCCGUGCCAGCAGCCGCGGUAA